UACAGAGGUCUCAAGCGUUGUUCGGAUUCAUUGGGCGUAAAGGGUGCGUAGGCGGCGCGGUAAGUCGGGUGUGAAAUCUCGGAGCUUAACUCCGAAACUGCAUUCGAUACUGCCGUGCUUGAGGACUGGAGAGGAGACUGGAAUUUACGGUGUAGCGGUGAAAUGCGUAGAUAUCGUAAGGAAGACCAGUGGCGAAGGCGGGUCUCUGGACAGUUCCUGACGCUGAGGCACGAAGGUCAGGGUGCGAAACGGG
rnacentral:rRNA from 1 species